rnacentral:rRNA from 1 species
AGAGUUUGAUCAUGGCUCAGGAUGAACGCUGGCGGUAUGCCUUACACAUGCAAGUCGUACGAGAGUUUUUAACUCAAGUGGCGGACGGGUGAGUAACACGUAAGAAUUUGCCUUUAGGUGGGGGAUAACAACUAGAAAUGGUUGCUAAUACCCCAUAUGCUUUCGAGUGAAAUGGAUUUUUCCGCCUAAAGAGAAGCUUGCGGCUGAUUAGCUUGUUGGUGAGGUAAUGGCUCACCAAGGCGACGAUCAGUAUCUGGUUUGAGAGGACGAUCAGACACACUGGAACUGAGACACGGUCCAGACUCCUACGGGAGGCAGCAGUGGGGAAUUUUCCGCAAUGGGCGAAAGCCUGACGGAGCAAUACCGCGUGAGGGAUGACUGCCUAUGGGUUGUAAACCUCUUUUUUCAGGGAGGAAUCAAAUGACGUGUACCUGAAGAAUAAGCAUCGGCUAACUCCGUGCCAGCAGCCGCGGUAAGACGGAGGAUGCAAGUGUUAUCCGGAAUCACUGGGCGUAAAGCGUCUGUAGGUGGUCCAAUAAGUCAACUGUUAAAUCUUGAGGCCCAACCUCAAAAUCGCAGUCGAAACUAUUAGACUAGAGUAUAGUAGGGGUAAAGGGAAUUUCCAGUGGAGCGGUGAAAUGCGUAGAGAUUGGAAAGAACACCGAUGGCGAAGGC